rnacentral:rRNA from 1 species
UACGAAGGGGGCUAGCGUUGCUCGGAAUUACUGGGCGUAAAGGGCGCGUAGGCGGCACUGUUAGUCAGGCGUGAAAUUCCUGGGCUCAACCUGGGGACUGCGCUUGAUACGGCAGAGCUAGAGGAUGGAAGAGGCUCGCGGAAUUCCCAGUGUAGAGGUGAAAUUCGUAGAUAUUGGGAAGAACACCGGUGGCGAAGGCGGCGAGCUGGUCCAUUACUGACACUGAGGUGCGAAAGCGUGGGGAGCAAACAGG